AAUUGCCGUAGAGGGCAGGAGGGAUGCAGCUGGCCACAACUUUCCCAAAACAAUGAAAGCUUUGGGACCGAGAGAUGGAUGUUGUGUUGCUUUUCAAAGGCUUCUUUGAUGGUCUUUUCAGCAAACAAGAAGAUGCUGAGAGCUUCCCAUGUAGUAAAAUCCGGUGAUGAAUCAUACAAAUGGAGGCACUUUGUAUCCUCUGCUUUCAAACUUGUAAGGACUUUGUCAGAAGAUGAGGAACCUCCCCAAACUCAGCUCCCGAUCUGCUCAUGGCUGCUGAUGGAGCUGUGUCAGAACCACCAGCGCCUGUUUGCAGCCCAGCGGUUGCAGGAGAGGCCCAGAUUGUCCCUGCCGUCCUGCAGAGCUCAGCAGCUGUGGCACUGUGUGCUCCAUAGCGGCAGUUGGGCCCAGAUUUCCUGCAGCUGAUGCAUCUUUAGCUGUGAGCACAACGAUGCUGUAGGACUGGAAGUGCAGCAGAAAUUGUCUUUCUCUUCUGUGCUGCCUCUUCAUCAGCUUCUGCUCAGGAGCGGAGGGAAGCAGAAUGUGGCUCUUCAACAGUGGGCAAAGCUCUGCAGGCCAGUGAAGAAAAUGGCAAAGAAGAAGUCUGUGGGGAUUGUUUGUGGGGGAUAAAUGGGGACGAGUCCCAGAGAAUAACCUGGAAGCUGUCCUCUAUUUGUUUUCAAUCUGCUGACUUCCCAAACCAAUGUAGCCACUCAUCCAUGAAGCUAAACAGACUUUGCUAACGCUUUAUUUCUAGCAGAGCUGAGGGAAGGUUUUUUUUAAUCAGUGUGUAAUGGCUGCCUGGUACAUAAGUGCUUUCUGACAUCUCUGCAUUCCACGUGGAAAGGUGUAUGAGAUCUAAACUAAACCCGUUGCCUUAAAUGGAGAAAAUCCUGAUUUCUCCAGUAUUUGUAAAACAAAAGUUAAACUCGGUAUUGUGACGGGAUACAAUCGGUGGUACUACCUGGAACUGGGAGGCAGCCCGCUGUGUGAGUUCGCAGACUGCAUUUUCCCCAUUCACAGAAGCAGGGAAGGAGAACUGUAAUUAAGAGUAACCUUCAGCUUAGGCAGACUGCUUAAAAUUGGAAACCUCCAGGAUUAUUAAUUUUACUGAUUUUUAUAUGGAUGUGAAUUAACCGUGUAAUUUCUUUUCUCUGUGUGUAUUUUCUAAAAUAAGUGAAAGAUAAGGCACUGUGUUCAUCUUGCUCAUGAUCCUUUUUUUUUUUCCCCUUCCAACCCAUGCAGACUGUCCUUCUCCCAUGGAGCACUCCCUGUUUGUUGAUGCAGCUCAGUUCUUAAUGCCACGGUAGUGAGGUUGAUGCAGGAACUAAAUGCUGAGCAUUAGUACAAAAUAAUGUAAAUAUGUUGGUUCUGCACGAGCAGUUUGCCACAUUAAGUAAACAUUCUUGGGAAUUAUUCAAGAGAAGGUGGAAUAUAUAUAUAUAUUUUUCCAAAUAUAUUUGCAUAAUGCAGCAAAUUUCUCAGCUUUUGUGCACCAGUGAAUGUAGAUGGGGUAUUCAUUUAAGAAGUUUACAGUUCUGCAGCCAGUCUAAUGUCUGCUUAUAGUAAAUAACUGAAUGUAGUU
ensembl:lncRNA